GUGUUUUAGGAAUGAACUGUUCCCUCGUGCCUAAUAUCAGUCUAAAUCACUGUGUGGGUUGCCUUUUUUGGUUGCAUGCUGCCUCAUUAUAGGAUGGAAAAUGG